CAGCAGCCACGGGAAUACGUAGGGUGCAAGCGUUAAUCGGAAUUACUGGGCGUAAAGCGUGCGCAGGCGGUUAUAUAAGACAGAUGUGAAAUCCCCGGGCUCAACCUGGGAACUGCAUUUGUGACUGUAUAGCUAGAGUACGGCAGAGGGGGAUGGAAUUCCGCGUGUAGCAGUGAAAUGCGUAGAUAUGCGGAGGAACACCGAUGGCGAAGGCAAUCCCCUGGGCCUGUACUGACGCUCAUGCACGAAAGCGUGGGGAGCAAACAGGAUUAGAUACCCCGGUAGUCCCUGUCUCUUAUCC
rnacentral:rRNA from 1 species